CGCGUAGGCGGCCGGUCAAGUCGGAGGUGAAAUCCCUCGGCUCAACUGAGGAAUUGCCUUCGAUACUGUUCGGCUUGAGUCCUGGAGAGGGUAGCGGAAUUCCCGGUGUAGCGGUGAAAUGCGUAGAGACCGGGAAGAACACCAGUGGCGAAGGCGGCUACCUGGACAGGUACUGACGCUGAAGCGCGAAAGCUAGGGGAGCAAACA
rnacentral:rRNA from 1 species